ensembl:rRNA 5S_rRNA 5S ribosomal RNA
AUCUGUAGCCAUAUUACUCUGAAUGCAUCUGAUCUCAUCUGAUCUUGGAAGUUAAGUGGGGUAAGGCCUGGUUAGUACUUGGAUGGGAGACCUCCUGGAAUACCUUGUGUUGUAGGCU